CCUACGGGUGACAGCAGUGGGGAAUAUUGGGCAAUGGGCGCAAGCCUGACCCAGCAACGCCGCGUGAAGGCAGAAGGCUUUCGGGUUGUAAACUUCUUUUCUCAGGGACGAAGAAAGUGACGGGACCUGAGGAAUAAGCCACGGCUAACUACGUGCCAGCAGCCGCGGUAAUACGUAGGGGGCAAGCGUUAGCCGGAUGUAUGGGGGGGAAAGGGCGGGGAGGAGGGAGCGCAAGGCAGAUGGGAAAACACAGGGCUCAACCCGUAGCCUGCCUUUGAUACUGUGUUUCUUGCGUGCUGGGGAGGCAAUCGGAUUUCCGUGUGUAGCGGUGAAAUGCGUCGAUAUCCGGCGGAACACCAGUGGCGAAGGCGGCUUGCUGGACAGUCACUGACGCUGAGGCGCGAAAGCGUGGGGAGCAAACAGGCUUAGAUACCCCAGUAGUC
rnacentral:rRNA from 1 species